CCACCUCCUCACUCAGCUUCUAAAACUGCCCCCCUCUUAGUUCCACUCUCUCACUCCAUGGAGUAGAAGGCAUUUUGUGUGACUUGCAAGUCUCAGAGAAGCCAGGCCCAGCUCCUGGGCUGUGCUCAGCCCCACCGGGGGCACCUGAGCCCCAGGCAUAGCUCGUCCAGCCCUAGACUUACCCUUGGCCGGCCGAGCUCAACAGCCUUGGGCGGUAGGAUGUCCUGACUGUCCUUAGCGGCUCUUGCCUUGAAGGAAGAGUUGAGGCAACACAGGGCUGCUGGCUGUCCAGGGACCCGGAUGCUCAGCAUCAUUCUCUUCCAAAAGGCCCCUCCUUGGUUUCCUGACAAUCCGGCCUGUGAUAUUUGAAGCACGCAGAAAUACCACUUGCGCAUGGUUGAGAAAAAGGUCAUCGCCUCACACUGAGUGCGUGGUCAGCUCGCGCUGCGGUAACAGAUCAAAGACCAGGGGCUUAAACAAUGGGCAUCGCUUUCUCACAGGUCUGGCAGCCGCAAGCCCAGGAUCAAGGUGUUGGCGGAUCUGAAGGCUACUGAACGAUUGUCUUCCUGGCUUGUAGGCGGCCUCUCCUUGUUGUAUCCUUACUGGUGGAGAGCGGAGCGGAAGCAAGCUCUCUCUUGUCUUUUUAUAGGGGCUUUCAUCCAUCUACACGGGCUCCACCCUUUUGACCUAAUUACCUCCCCAAGGCCCCAUAUUCAAAUACCGUCACACCAGUUGAGGUUUCAACAUAUGAACUUGGCAGGGGCAGAAGGCAAACAUUUCAGCCAUAGCCCUGAGCUAACCCUAAGACUCCCCAGCAUAGCGGGGAGGUUGCAGUGAGCUGAGAUCACGCCACUGCACUCCAGCCUGGGCAACAGA
rnacentral:lncRNA from 10 species